rnacentral:precursor_RNA from 8 species
AAACGCUACUUGAAUUGUCGUUUCCGAAUCAGGCCUCGCUGGCCAGGAUUCGGGCUUAUUUCCUCGUAUCCUGGCCUGCAAGUGCACUCAUUCGGACGACCUUAUCUCCAUGGCAACAG